CAGUAGCCGCGGGAAUACGUAGGGUGCAAGCGUUAAUCGGAAUUACUGGGCGUAAAGCGUGCGCAGGCGGUUAUAUAAGACAGAUGUGAAAUCCCCGGGCUCAACCUGGGAACUGCAUUUGUGACUGUAUAGCUAGAGUACGGCAGAGGGGGAUGGAAUUCCGCGUGUAGCAGUGAAAUGCGUAGAUAUGCGGAGGAACACCGAUGGCGAAGGCAAUCCCCUGGGCCUGUACUGACGCUCAUGCACGAAAGCGUGGGGAGCAAACAGGAUUAGAUACCCCCGUAGUCCCUGUCUCUUAUAA
rnacentral:rRNA from 1 species